UACGUAGGGUGCGAGCGUUAAUCGGAAUUACUGGGCGUAAAGCGUGCGCAGGCGGUUCGUUGUGUCGGUGGUGAAAUCCCCGGGCUUAACCUGGGAAUGGCGUUUGGGACUGGAAGUCUGGAGUACGGCAGAGGAGACUGGAAUUCCUGGUGUAGCAGUGAAAUGCGUAGAUAUCAGGAGGAGCACCGAUGGCGAAGGCAGGUCUCUGGGCUGAUACUGACGCUCAUGCACGAAAGCGUGGGGAGCAAACAGG
rnacentral:rRNA from 1 species